AAGCAGAAUAAAUUUGGAGAAAAUAAUAAUAGCUAAACUUAUUGAAAAUAGAUUCCACACCCAGUGCUGUGCUAAGCUCUUUGCACAUUUUAUCUCAUUCUAUCCCUCUAAAUCUUUAAGGUGCCAAGUAGUCUCAGCUCCCCACAGGUACAAAUAAGGAAGCUCAGGGUCUGUGGGAAUUGGCAGAAAUGGGGGGGGGGAGACUUUGUGUUAGAAGAGUGAUAAGCUAGAAGUGGCUGCUCAAAAGGGUAGAGCAAUGAGAACGUGAUUUAAAAACUAGUGUUGACAGAGGAGUGUCGACAGUUUUUCGGGGCAGAAAGACUUGAUAGUCCUCCUUGGCCAGACCUUUCACAUGGGGUGCCCCUGGACCCUGGAGAAGACUGCUGUCGAGGGGAGGAGGUGGUAGGGAGUGCUUAGAAUUGGGUGUGAAGUUAGAUUAGAGCAUGGUGUUCCACAGCUUUAAAAAUCGGAAAUGAUUGGCAUGGCAUAGUAUUCCAUGGCACAGUGUAAAUGUUAGCUGGCCUGGGAGUACAUUAGCCUCCGGUCCAGGUAAUGACCGCAUGGCACAUGCCAAGCACAAGCUGAAAUGGUGCAAUGGGCUGGUCCACUUUGGUCUACUACCGGUAUCGGUUCUAGUUCUCUAUAGGGCCCCUGGGUUCUAGCUGGGCACACAGUCUCCUUCACACAUAAAGACCACAUUUUGCAGCCUCCUUUUGUACACAGGCAUGGCUAUAUGCCUUGGUCUGGCCAAUGGGGUGUAAGAAGAAAGGUUCCAGGAGCUGUUUCCUUCCCAUCUCCUUCCCUCUGCUUCUUGGAACACUGGAGCGACAGCCAGAGUUCAUUCUGGAUGGUGAGGACAAGCAUGGUGCCCUCAGGAUGGGGAAGCAGAAAGCCACAAGCUGCCUGGGCCCUGUGGGCUUGAUGGGACUGGGCUGCUGUGGCCCAGGACCACCCACCCCUGAGCUUGGACGUGAUGGAGCCAAGUGUCCAUCUGGUUCCAAUGCCCACGAGUGUGGGGUUUUCUAUUUCUUUCAGCCAACUGAAUUCUGAUUUGCUCUUGGGUAGACUAGACAGAGUUCCAUAAUCAAUGUGGCAUCUUCUUUCUCUUUGGAUGAUAAAGACAAGACACCUUCACUCUUUCAGUCUCCCUCCCAGGAAUCCUUAAAGGGCCUUUUGCAGCAUGAGGACUCAGCCCCACCUGGGGAUAGACGUUGCCAACAGGCAUGUACUCUGGGCCUCGCUCAGACGGGGCUUAUGUGGUUUUACUGGAUCUGUCGCCAAGGAGGCCAAGACAUCUUUGGCACUUGUGCUUCCCUCGGCCAGGCUUCCUCUGUUUUCCCAACUUGCGGUGGCUCUGCCCACGACAUGCUUCUGUCCGUGGUUGAAACAGCUGCCACUGGACACCGCCAUCCUUCCAUGUCCAGUUCAUGCGUCACCUUCUCAGAGCAGCUGUCCCCAACACGGUGGGGGGAAACUCUCUACUGUUGUCGUCACGUUUUCAUCGCCUGCAAAGGCAUCGCAGCUUCCUGCUUCCUCCCAGGGAGGCAGUCUGUCACAGCCAGCCAUGCGGGUGUGUAUGCAGUGCCUGCUCCUCGCCAGGCCACCUGCUAGUGACUAGGACACACCUGUCUGUCUCCCGCCCUCAUGGCGUUUGUAGUCUGGGGACAAAGAAAACCAACAAAAAUGCAAUUAAAAACUAUGACAGACUUUAUGAAGGAGAACAGAAUGGGUGCUGUGCAGAAGAGCCAACUUGGGGGUGGGAUUGUUCACAUGGUCUUGGUGGAAGAAUAAUGCAAGAAGUCCUAUCCAUGCUGAAAUCAGCAAUGAAGACUUCAGGGUUGGUAUCGGGCAGGCUUGGAUUUGCACCCUGGCUGCACUGCUUCUUAGCUGUGUGGCGUUAGGCCAGUGGCUUCACCUCUCUGAGCCUGAGAUAGGUAAUAACACCCAUCUCAUUAAGCUGGCUGUACAGUGCCUGCCACAUAGCCAUGCAGCGAGCACUCCAUAAAUGGGGUCUAUUUUUGAAGGUCUAUCAUCCACCCAGAAUAUAGAUGCUCUGAGGACAGAUCCGUCCCCUUAUUCAUCUGUGCACCCCAGGCAUAGACUAUGUAGCUGAUGUCCCCCAAGGCUGUCUAAAUAAUAACAGCCAACAUUCCCUGGGCUCUCACUGUGUGCCCAGCACUGUUGCUAGCACGCCACGGGCAUUCACUCAUUGAACACUGGAACUAAUUCCCUGCGGGUGGUGCUACUGUCACUCCUAUUUGGUGGCGAAGCAGUGAAGGCCCAUGGAGACUGGGUGACGUGCUCGGGUUCAUAUCAUCGGCAGGUAGAGGAACCGGUGCUCAGCCCCAGGCAGCCUGGCGCCCAGAGCCACUGCGUUUCGUUCCCCCUGCAGGGGACGAAGGAAAUCUGUCCAUCCUGCAAAGAAAUGCAGCCUCCCCUUUGGCCUCGACCUUAUAGACUCUCCCAAAAAAAUAGAAUUGGGGAAAUACAUUCCCCCUCAAAUUAUAUAAUAAUUAUUUCAAUAUUCUCUUAUUAGCGCUGGGUAAAUGAAGAAGUGAAAUAAACAGAAUCAAAUUAUUCACCUCUCAGCUGGCUGUCUCUACCGGGGCUCUCCUGGGGGCUCUGGGUUCCAGGGCACGAGUGCCUGCCCAGAGCAACGUCUCUCCCCACGCCCACCCUCCAGUCUGCGGGCUCCUUACCCAUUCUCCGUGGGUCCGCCCUGCCUCUGGCAAGUUCUGCUGUCUUCUUUCCGCGUUCCCUCCUAUUAAAACACCCUCACCCGAAGGCAUCCCAGAGAUGAGAAGUGCACCUGCCAACUCACCCCUGGAAGCCGAAAUGCGUAAAUUGCUUCUUUUAUUUUCAAAAUAGUGUAUGUUAUUUGGAAUGGAGAAUGGCCUCACCUUGCCCUCCUGGGCCUGCUGUUCUGGGAUGUUUUGUUAGAAACAACGGGAGAGGAUAAUGCCUCACAUCCCCACUGCUCCUCUUGCUACAGAAAUUGUAAUAAACUGCCAAGAGUGCAGGCACCACCACAGCUCUCUUGAUUGAGGUUUCCCGAGGCGUAGGGAUGCAUCUGCCUUUAGCUGCCCAUCCUCAAUUAAUUACCCGAUUAUUGUGGGGGACGGUUGAUGAGGCAAGACCUUAGGCAACCCCAAAUGGCAGUGUCGAAAUGGUCACAUCAUCCCCAGGGGCCCCAUCUGACAACUGAUGGGUGUGCUCUUUUCUUGACUCAAAGCUGAGCCUGAGCCGAGGGAAUGGUGAGGGGGUGCCAGGCUAGCAGGGUGGAGAAGAGGGCAAGGAAUAUGGGGGUGAUGCUAGAAUGACCAAGACCAUUUCCCUAGAGAUAUACAACCCAGUGAAUGAAUUAGUAUUAAUCGAAGUUCUAUGAAGGGGUUUAACUCUGCAUUAGGUUUUAAGCAUAGAGCAGUAUGUUAGAAUCCAAAGGCCUUCUUUCAACUUCCAAUUCCAGCCAUUGACCAAAAGGCAGUGGGAUUUGCUGAGGUUCAGGUAUUUAGUCUGUGAAACAGGAUGACAGUGUUUCUCAUAGGACAUCUUAGACCAGGUGCAUGUGGUUGCUGUAAUAGUAAUAGGAAUCCAUUUAUGCCGACUUCAUUAAGUCACAAGCUGUUGGAAGGAUAUAGUGGUGUGUGUUUCAAGGGCAGGAAGCCCUUCCUCAUGGGGGGCUGGCAUUGGGAACUGAGAUGCUGUUCUGAAUCGUGUUCACUGUGCUUUCUUCCUCUUUUUCUCUUUCUCAUCUCUCUCUCUUUUUCCCUGCUUUUCUCUGUGUAUUUGCUAAUUCUUCUCCUCCCUCCCCUCUCUGCUUCUCUAUGUAUUAUUAAUAUAAGGUGGAAAAUAGAUAUUCCAAUAUGGUACCAUUGAAGCCUGGGUCUGUACCAUCAUGAGCCAACAGUGAAAUUUUCUAGUCCAUGUUACAAAUGGCAAAGCAAGGGAAUAUGGGCACCUGGCUGCAAUUAAUGGGGCUGCAGCUAAUGGAUGAGACCAUGCAGCCUGCUGCUCGCCCAGUGUGGCCGUGGGGCCAGUGGCCGUGAGAGCGGAGCGUGGGCAGAUGUUCUCGGAGGGGGCCCGGGGCGGAGAGCGAUGGAGGGCCACCCUGCACGCUGGGCCUCUGUAAGGAGUAAGCCAGAUAAUGGGAGAUUUCUCAGUGCAGCCGGUGAGAGCUCAGUGUUCAGGGGGUGCUAGCACGAUGUGCACUGUGAAAGCAGCUUACAAUUCAAUGCGAGGGAAGAAACGGCCCUGCACUGAGUAGGUGCUUUUUUUCAUUUUGCAAGGACUGUCUUAUGCUCCCAUCUCCCACAUAAGGUGCCUGGCCCAUCAUCAAUGCUCAAUACAUGCUUACUGCAUGGAGCAGAACGAGAAGGGUGGCAUUAAACAAGAGCCUACAAGAGAGUAGGAAUUAAACUCUCCAUUCUAGGGCACUACUUUAAAGACACUGUCAUCCUUCAGGGUUGCUAUGAAGUGGUCAGUGGACCUCAGCAGUUGGCAGAGAGAUUAUGCAAGAAAUGGGUACCCAUGUUGCCUUAAGGAUGUACAACGUGGGGAGGCAUCCAGAAGAAAGAAUAGAAUUCCAGAAAAACAAACAAUAUGCGAAUGACGGUGCAGAGCAGAGCCAAGGUGAGCCCAGUGUGCUCGAAGAGUGACAGAUGGGACCAAAGGGAGAAUGAGUGAUGGGUCACAUGAGAGCAACAUUGGGUGACAAAGAGAGAUUAUUCCAGAGACCACCAAGAAGCAGGCAGAGAUGGCCAAGUGCAGGAAAACAGAGCACCACUGAAGGCAACUACAGAGUGAGGCUGCCAGCCCCUGCCCUCUCCAACCCUUCUUAGCUGCAGGGUCCAAUCCUGCCCAAUGUCUGUGUCAAAAAAACCCAGAGCUUAAGAAACACCAUUCCCAUUUGCAGGAGGGGGCUGGAGUUGUCCUGCUGCCUGAGCCCAAGGAUCCCACAGCCCACUGAGCUGCAGACCUCAUCUCAUGUGUCUUUAUGGGACAAGGACAUAAAAGGGGGCCUCUGCUUCUGGGGGUCUUGGCUUCCCCUCCAUCCCACUGCCCUGACUCCUAUAGCCUGUUGUGUUGAGAUCCUGACUCUGCCUCAGCUUGGCCAGCCCCCUCUCCCAAGGACCCAAUCUUAGCUCUCUAUACCCAGCUCUUGUUAAGGGCUAAUCAUAUCCAAGGCAGAGGCUAAAACCCAAGGGAGCAUCUUUCACCUGAUUGAAAGGAGAUCCUGCCCAGGAAAUCAGUCACCCCGGAACAUCAGUCAAGCCAGUGAUGCCCCGACUUGGGCAUGUCCCAUGGACUCUAAUUUAGAGUCCAAGGCUUGGCAGUCAGAGCAGUCACUCUGUGCAUGGCCUUGCUCUGUGCCAACGAGGAGGUUCCUCCUUAAGAUCCAAGCAGGUCUUGACACCAAAGCCCCGAGCUGAUGUAGGAUGUCUUUUCAUCUAAAUGAUGCAAAGUCUUAGAGAAGUGCGGAGUGUCCUGUAGGAUCUUUACAUUCCAGCAGCCACAUAGGAGAAGGUGAAUGAAACAACAGUCUCGAGAGAGAUUGAGUGGUGUAUAGUUUUUGUCAGCAGGGUGGUCUGAACACAAUCGCAGGUGUUUAUAGAAUACACAGUGAAGGGAGUGCCUUCACCCUGAACCUAUCCAAGUGCCAACUGGUUUCACAUAAGUGGAGCAGGUGUUGCUGCCAUGCCGGUAUCUCCUCUAGGUUUCCCAGGAUGUUGGGGCGAAAUAUGAAUACUUGCUCAGCAUUGGUGAGUGGCCCAAGCUUUCCUGGGUGGACUUUUCAGGAUGGCUGUAGGUCUGUUGGCUGGAAAAGGCAUCCAGGCCCCUGACAAAGAAGUAGAUGUCAGCCACGUGCCAGCCUGUUUAAAGAACAUCAGCCUGCAACCACCCUCACAGACCGGUCCCUAAUCAUUCCCCAUGUGUCUGAUGUCAGACUAGCAUGUUGCCCUGCCCCAGCGGGUAGGGACUGGCUUCAGGGCACUCCAGUGACAACCACCUUUCUCCUGUUUAUGAUUGCAGAUGAUGGGUGGUCCACUGAGUCCCCUAUCUACAAGUUCAAACCCCGCAUUAGCAUUUUUCUCUUUCUGGCCUCCCUGCUUUACAUAUUAUCUGGCCUCACACAUCACUCCUCUAGUCCGGGCUCUGAGCACGCCUUAUCUGCGCUGGCACAUAUUUCUCUGGAGCCGGAAGCGGAGGAGGACGGGUGUGACGAGAGGAAAAGAGAGCCGCAUGGGUUGAUGACUCGCUCUGGCCUGCGGCGAAUGAGGAUUUUCUGGCUGUCCAAUAACAGAAUCUCCAGUGAGACGUGGGAUCAGUCGUGUCCGCGCCAGGGCUGGUCUGUGUGUCUGUGAGGGGCAGGGCCCUCUGCGUGCUCUGGUCACUAGUGUGGUGGCAAGACCCAGCGCUGCAGAGCCAUCCUGGUGUGAUGCCAGUCCCAGCCCCACCCAUUCAUAGUUAGGAAAACACUUGCCUUCCAGGAGCCUUGGUUUCCUUUCCUGAAGGGAGGAACACUGAUUCUUACCUCCUGGUGAAAAAAAAAGAAAUCUUAAACUAGACAGCUCAAACAAAUUGCCUGCUACAUGAAACUACUUCAUACACUCAACUAUUUUUUUACCCCAAACCAAACAGCUGAGGCCAGCGAUGGGUCACCAAGCCUGUGCGCAUUUGAGGGGAGUCCUCUGUCUGAGAUUGUCCAUGCCACCCAAGAUUGUCCACACAAGUGAGCAUGUCAGAAUGACUUCGGCCCACUCACAGGGGAAGAACAUUCUAUCAGUAGGGCUGUUAGCCUUCCACUCAGCCCGUAAGAAGGCUGUUCUGGCAAUGGGCUGAGACCCACAGAAGAGGCAAUGCUAUGGCUCUUAAAUCGCUUUAGGGGAGAAAUCACCAUGGCAACUGAGCCUACAAGAGUAGUGUGGCUCUUGCAUAGGGUCCUCCCAGAAGGCUGUGCGUGCUCUUCAGGUGGUUCCAAUUCAUCGCAAGGAACCAUGCCUCAGGUUCCAAAGGCAGCAUCCGUCGGUUCCAACGAGAGGGAUGUGGAAAAGGCUGAACGUAGUGGCUCUUACGCUGCCUCUUGAGACUCCUACCUCUGAUCCCAUGGCCCACGGCACUCCUCUGGGUUAGACCAGUGGUCCUCAACUGGGCGCGUGACAGGGACUUUUUAAAAACAUGGACACUUUAACUCUUCCUCAGCACAUUUGGGUCCGACUCUGUGGGGACAGAUUCCAGAUAUCUGUAUUUUUAAAGUUCCCCGGAUGAUUCUAACACGCAGGCGGGGUGGAGAACCACAACUUACUUAAUGCAAGUGCUUCUCAAAGUUUAAAGUGCGUAGGUUAAACGUAAAUCCCAAACCACGUAGGGAUCUUGUUCGGUUAUAGAUCCUGAUUCUGUAGGUCUGGGGUGAGACCUGAGACUCUGCCUUUCUAGCAAGUUCUUGGGUGGUGCUGACGUCGCUGAUCUGGGACCACACUUGAGUAGCAAGGCUCUACAGAGUUCCUCAUUGCCACAGCUGUGGCUCCUUAGACCCCAGCUGCAGAUUUAGUCCUACACUCCUUUUUAGGACCAACCUGGGGCAGGCAAAAGCUUACCCACCUUGAGUCCCUCCUCCUGGACUCGGGACCAAGCCCCCUGGCUAUGAGUCUCACCCAUCAGCAGCAGGUGUUUUAGAAAUCGAAAUCGAAAUCUCAUAUCCAAACCGCUGGUCAUUUCAUUCAGCUUUCUAUUUCCAAAUGUCAUCAUCUACUCAAACGGGUACCCACAGAACACUGUGUACAGAAUUUUAAUAGCUGGGAAGCAAACAGAAAACCCUCCCUGUUUAAAUACACUUGGAAAUUCUGGUCUAAACAAAUUUGAAAUUUGAAUACGUUUCUUUACUGUAGCAUUUAUCAGGGCCUUUAAUAUGCAAAGAUGUGUUCUGAAACCUAAAGUGUGCAGGGCUUUCUAAACUUGUUUGGCAACAAAAUAACUUUAUUUGUGGGACACUUAAUAACAUUUCAUAGACCUGGAGAGCUAUAAAACCCGUUCUGGGAAGUGCUACUCUGGAUUUAUUUCUACAGGCUUGAGAUAAGCAGAGGGACAGAUUAGCAUGGAGAUUGCUGGCUGAAAUUUUCUAUCAGCACGCGAGAAAGGAGAACCCUCCAUGGAACAUCGUAAAUUGUUCAUGUGUCUGCAGCCGUGCGAGAGCAAGACAGGGCCUGAGAAAAGGAAGGUCAAAGGUGGUCAUUUGCCAUGGGUUUGAGAAAUAAGGGGGAUAAUUUUUAUGGCUGCUGGAAAGGAAUAAAUUGUUACUGUAGUGUUUAUGGCACUACGGAGAAAGGUUGAAACGAAAACAUUCUUGCAAAGUCAAAGGUCCCAGGAGACGGGCCAAUGGAAUGGACGCUGUUCUUUUGAGGAUUUCUUCCCUCCGUGUUUACUGUUUCUGAAAUAUUAAAGAUUCUUGAACUAAUGGAGAAUGCAAACAGGGACACACAUCCCAUGUGGAAAGUGGCAGGGUGCUUGCUGUGAAUGUUUGUUUCUUCAGAUGUGUCUGACGUUAAUUUCCUGGAAAUUGAUGCAUUUGGAGAAAUGGCAGCAUCCUAACAGUUCUGGCUGAGUUUUCUGCUCUCACAUUAUGUUCCUGGAAGAAUUGGGGUCUUGCUGCUUUUCCCCGAAAAACAUGGGUUCCUAGUGAACUCUGUCCGGCCCAUUGAUUAGAAACCUGUUAUUCAUGGGUAGGAAACCCAGAUGUUGACUAACUGGCACUGACUGUUGGAAUCCUUGCUUGCUUACAAGACGGAGGUUGGGCAGUGCCGGAACAUGCCCCAGCCUCCCAGCGUGGGAUGCUCGUGUCUGGGCCCGGCCGCACCUGCUGGAUGCAGGGCCACAAGAUCAGGACAGAGAUGGGUCAUCACUGCCCACCACGAUGCUGAAGUGGAAGUACUUCUUUGGAAUUUUGAUAUGUACUUUAAAAUAGAGAUGGCCUCAAAAUUAGGAGCCCCUGGCAUUAGCCAAAUGGGAAGACGUGCAUUUUGGGAUGCACCCUCGUUUGUUUUGGCAUGCACUGGAUUUUAUACUGUUAUGCUGGAUUUGUUUUCCUUCCAGGUGCUCUGUUGGUUAAGGCUUAGUCUCACUUAAUAGAAAUGACUCUGAGUAGUUGAAGGGAAGGGGAUUUAUUACUAGGUUUUAGGUGGCUUACCAAAUAAUUGGUAGGGCCGAAGGAUCAGGAUACGCUUUCAGCUCUCAGCGACAAUCCCCAGUUCUGAGAGUCACACCUCCUGCUGCGGCACAGCCUCCUGGCCUCUCACGGGCUCUGCCCUGCCUUUUCUCCUGAGAACUCAGAUUCUAAUUUAGUUCUUCACAAGUGCAUCUGCUGGAGAGAGCUAGCUCACAGCCAGAUGCCCAGGUAUGAGACAGUCUGGGAAAUGUAGUUCCUCCUAUUGUGAAAGGCACAUGAAAAGGAAGCCUGAAUGGUUGCCAAGUGAGCCAAUCUACCAUCCGUGCCAGCGGAGUAAUAGAGCACAGUCACAAUAUCAUUCUCAUUAAAUGAUUGGUGAUAAAUGGAACCGCAAGGCAAACACUGAACUACUGAUUGGAAAUGCAGUGCCACUGAUCUGAGCAAAGCUGCCAAGACGAUUUGUCAAAGUCCUGGAAACCAGGUCAACAUCACUCCUAUUUACCAAUAUCACAAUGCUGUACCAUCAAAAUUCUGCACCAUUAGAAUUCUGGAACUUAAGGGGACUUUGAGGUGGAACUGGUUCGGACCUCUCAUUUCAGAGAGCUCGUCAGGCGGUUUGCUAGCUCUUCAUUGUCAAACCGUUUCCCAGCUCCAAGGGUGGGGGAAGGGUUUGCAGGAAAUGUGCCUUAUUCAUUUUUUUAUUCCCCCAUCCCAGUGCUGAGCCUGAUUCCUGGCAUAUGACUUCACCGUUGACGAAUGAAUGUGCAUUUGGCAGGCAGACCAAAGCCACUGGAGGAAGGGGAAAUAGGACGAC